rnacentral:rRNA from 1 species
UGAACGCUGGCGGUAUGCUUAACACAUGCAAGUCGAACGGAAACGAUACUAGCUUGCUAGUAGGCGUCGAGUGGCGGACGGGUGAGUAACGCGUAGGAAUCUGCCUGAUAGUGGGGGAUAGCCCGAAGAAAUUCGGAUUAAUACCGCAUAAUCUAUUCGUAGUAAAGUGGGGGACUUUCGAGCCUCACGCUAUCAGAUGAGCCUGCGUAAGAUUAGCUAGUUGGUAGGGUAAAAGCCUACCAAGGCAACGAUCUUUAGCUGGUCUGAGAGGAUGAUCAGCCACAUCGGGACUGAGACACGGCCCGAACUCCUACGGGAGGCAGCAGUGGGGAAUAUUGGACAAUGGGGGCAACCCUGAUCCAGCAAUACCGCGUGUGUGAAGAAGGCCUGAGGGUUGUAAAGCACUUUCAAUUGUGAAGAAAAGUUAACGGUUAAUAACCGUUAGCCUUGACGUUAACUUUAGAAGAAGCACCGGCUAACUCCGUGCCAGCAGCCGCGGUAAUACGGAGGGUGCAAGCGUUAAUCGGAAUUACUGGGCGUAAAGCGUGCGUAGGCGGUUUAUUAAGUCAGAUGUGAAAGCCCCGGGGCUUAACCUGGGAACUGCAUUUGAAACUGGUCAACUAGAGUAUGGUAGAGGAAAGUGGAAUUUCUGGUGUAGCGGUGAAAUGCGUAGAUAUCAGAAGGAACAUCAAUGGCGAAAGGCAGCUUUCUGGACCAAUACUGACGCUGAGGUACGAAAGCGUGGGUAGCAAACAGGAUUAGAUACCCUGGUAGUCCACGCCGUAAACGAUGAUAACUAGCCGUUGGGGGGAUUUACUCUUUAGUGGCGAAGCUAACGCGUUAAGUUAUCCGCCUGGGGAGUACGGCCGCAAGGUUAAAACUCAAAGGAAUUGACGGGGACCCGCACAAGCGGUGGAGCAUGUGGUUUAAUUCGAUGCAACGCGAAGAACCUUACCUGGUCUUGACAUCCUGCGAACUUUCUAGAAAUAGAUUGGUGCCUUCGGGAACGCAGUGACAGGUGCUGCAUGGCUGUCGUCAGCUCGUGUCGUGAGAUGUUGGGUUAAGUCCCGUAACGAGCGCAACCCCUAUCCUUAUUUGCCAGCACGUCAUGGUGGGAACUAUAAGGAGACUGCCGGUGAUAAACCGGAGGAAGGCGGGGACGACGUCAAGUCAUCAUGGCCCUUACGACCAGGGCUACACACGUACUACAAUGGGAAGGACAAAGAGCCGCGAAGCCGCGAGGUGUAGCUAAUCUCAGAAACCUUUUCGUAGUCCGGAUUGGAGUCUGCAACUCGACUCCAUGAAGUCGGAAUCGCUAGUAAUCGUAGAUCAGAAUGCUACGGUGAAUACGUUCCCGGGUCUUGUACACACCGC